rnacentral:tRNA from 1 species
GCGGGGGUGCCGCAGUGGCCAACCGGGGCAGACUCAAAAUCUGCUGGCUUAGUGCCUUCAUGGGUUCGAAUCCCUUCCCCCGCA